GACGAACGCUGGCGGCGUGCUUAACACAUGCAAGUCGAACGGAAAGGCCCUGCUUUUGUGGGGUGCUCGAGUGGCGAACGGGUGAGUAACACGUGAGUAACCUGCCCUUGACUUUGGGAUAACUUCAGGAAACUGGGGCUAAUACCGGAUAGGAGCUCCUGCUGCAUGGUGGGGGUUGGAAAGUUUCGGCGGUUGGGGAUGGACUCGCGGCUUAUCAGCUAGUUGGUGGGGGAGUGGCUUACCAAGGCUUUGACGGGUAGCCGGCCUGAGAGGGUGACCGGCCACAUUGGGACUGAGAUACGGCCCAGACUCCUACGGGAGGCAGCAGUGGGGAAUAUUGCACAAUGGGCGGAAGCCUGAUGCAGCAACGCCGCGUGCGGGAUGACGGCCUUCGGGUUGUGAACCGCUUUCGCCUGUGACGAAGCGUGAGUGACGGUAAUGGGUAAAGAAGCACCGGCUAACUACGUG
rnacentral:rRNA from 1 species